rnacentral:rRNA from 1 species
CGAGCGAAGGGAGUACUACGGUACGAACUUAGCGGCGGACGGGUGCUCUUCACGUGGACAAUCUACCCUGUAGACUGGGAUAACACCUCGCAAGGGGUGCUAAUACCGGAUAAUGUCGAGAAGCGGCAUCGCUUUUCGAAGAAAGGAGGGAAUCCGCUAUAGGAGGAGUCCGCGUCCCAUUAGCUAGUUGGUGAGGGUAAGGGCCCACCAAGGCGACGAUGGGUAGCCGGCCUGAGAGGGUGAACGGCCACACUGGAACUGAGACACGGUCCAGACUCCUACGGGAGGCAGCAGUGGGGAAUAUUGUGCAAUGGGGGAAACCCUGACACAGCGACGCCGCGUGAGUGAAGAAGGCCUUCGGGUCGUAAAGCUCAAUAGUAUGGGAAGAAAGAAAUGACGGUACCAUACGAAAGCCCCGGCUAACUACGUGCCAGCAGCCGCGGUAAUACGUAGGGGGCGAGCGUUGUCCGGAAUUACUGGGCGUAAAGAGCACGUAGGCGGCUAUAAAAGUCAGAUGUGAAAAACCUGGGCUCAACCGAGGGUAUGCAUCUGAAACUAAAUAGCUUGAGUCAAGGAGAGGAGAGCGGAAUUCCUGGUGUAGCGGUGAAAUGCGUAGAGAUCAGGAAGAAUACCAGUGGCGAAAGCGGCUCUCUGGACUUGAACUGACGCUGAGGUGCGAAAGCGUGGGGAGCAAACAGGAUUAGAUACCCUGGUAGUCCACGCCGUAAACGAUGAGUGCUAAGUGUUAGAGGGUUUCCACCCUUUAGUGCUGCAGCUAACGCAUUAAGCACUCCGCCUGGGGGAGUACGGCCGCAAGGCUGAAACUCAAAGGAAUUGACGGGGGCCCGCACAAGCGGUGGAGCAUGUGGGUUUAAUUCGAAGCAACGCGAAGAACCUUACCAGGGCUUGACAUCCACAGAAUCGAGUAGAAAUACCUGAGUGCCUUCUAUGAAGGAGCUGUGAGACAGGUGGUGCAUGGUUGUCGUCAGCUCGUGUCGUGAGAUGUUGGGUUAAGUCCCGCAACGAGCGCAACCCUA